GCCCCUACCGUAACAAUCAGCAUCAAAACGACAACAAUUUCGGGCCGCGAAAAUUUCUUGUAUGAAUUAGCGACGCGAUUAUUUUCCAAAAUCCCAAAAGCUAAUCUUCCUCAAAUCCUCUUCCACUUAAAUCUCGCAAAAAUACAUUAUCCAAUUCUAGCCGGCGCCAAACACGACGACCGGAUAAUGGGACGAGCACUUCUUUCACAGUUUCUCCUCCUCUCCAACACCACUCCACGGCUGGCGUCCUCCUCUUCACUCAGGUCACUCAAUGGACUUCGACGGAAAUGUAUUAGAUCUUCGAGGCUGCUAGUUCGUCCAAACGCAAGUUACGCCACUGCUCUUCGUUGCCAUUGCAGUGUCUCCGCCGCUGAACCUGCCUCUCCGCCGGCUUCUUCCAGCUCUGUAAAGAAGAGGAUAGUGUCAGGAGUCCAGCCUACAGGCUCUAUUCACCUCGGAAAUUAUCUCGGUGCUAUUAAAAAUUGGAUUGCUCUUCAGAAUACAUAUGAAACUCUCUUCUUUAUUGUGGACCUCCAUGCGAUUACAUUACCAUAUGAUACACAACAAUUAGCCAAGGCUACAAGGGAUACAGCUGCAAUUUAUUUGGCAUGUGGUGUGGACUCUUCCAAGGCUUCUGUUUUCGUGCAGUCUCAUGUACGUGCUCAUGUAGAACUCAUGUGGCUUCUAAGUUCUGCCACACCAAUUGGUUGGCUGAAUAGAAUGAUUCAGUUCAAAGAGAAAUCUCGCAAGGAGGGGGAUGAAAAUGUCGGGGUUGCUCUUUUGACUUAUCCUGUUUUGAUGGCUUCUGAUAUUCUUCUGUAUCAGUCUGACUUUGUCCCAGUUGGUGAGGAUCAAAAGCAGCAUCUGGAGUUGACCCGUGAGCUGGCCGAGCGUGUUAACUAUUUAUACGGAGGAAGAAAGUGGAAAAAAUUAGGAGGGCGAGGAGGUGCUAUCUUUAAGGUUCCUGAACCUCUUAUUCCGCCAACUGGAGCUCGAGUUAUGUCUUUGACUGACGGUCUUGCUAAGAUGUCAAAGUCUGCACCUUCUGAUCAAUCUCGAAUCAAUCUUCUUGACCCUAAAGAUGUGAUAGCAAACAAGAUAAAGCGAUGCAAAACUGAUUCAUUUCCAGGCCUUGAAUUUGACAAUCCUGAAAGACCUGAGUGUAACAAUCUUCUUUCAGUGUAUCAACUUGUUUCAGGCAAAACAAAAGAGGAGAUUGAACAGGAAUGUAAUAAUAUGAAUUGGGGCAUGUUCAAACCUCUCCUAACAGAUGCCGUGAUUGAUCACCUACAUCCCAUCCAGGUUCGAUAUGAGGAAAUAAUAUCUGAUUCAGCUUAUUUGGAUAGAGUUUUAGAGGAAGGUGCAAACAAAGCUUCAGAGAUAGCAGAUGCUACUCUCAAUAAUGUAUACCAGGCAAUGGGAUUUUUGCGGAGAUGAAUGGAAUCAAUGCUUGAGGGUGAGUUAUGUAAAAAUAUCUGUCAGGUUGCAACCUUAAAGUUAACUUUUGGAGGAUCUAGAAUUGCCCACAAUUAUUUGGAGUACACCCAUGAGCAUAUUUUAGAUGAGUGUAUGGGAUGACUUGUUGCGAAGGUCCCACAGUUUUGCUUCAAUGGACAGGCGCUGGUAGCAAUGAUAUUUGAGGAAUUGGUGCACGAGUAAGAUUCAUGAGUCAUCUUCAGGAACUAUAGCUGUGUUCGUCCUUGUUGGCGUAUCGUCUGUCUGCCACAUGCUGGCAGCUGCUGCCUAUGAAAUGUUCCACUAAUAUCAUUUUAUUAGUUAACUAAGAUUCUUCGAUUCUUCACCUAGAAAUGUGAGAAGCUCACUAUUUCAGAUAGAAAUUUCGAUUUUAACACUUGAAAAAUUGAAGGAAAAAGUUAAUAUUUCUCUUUAUUUUUUUCUCCUAAAGAAAUACACUGUGUUUUAUGGCAAGUAAAUAUACUGAUGUCAGUAGACUACAGCUUUAUAACA